rnacentral:rRNA from 1 species
CAGCCGCCGCGGGAAAACCAGCACCUCGAGUGGUCAGGAGGUUUAUUGGGCCUAAAGCAUCCGUAGCCGGUUGCAUAAGUUUUCGGUUAAAUCUAUGCGCUUAACGUAUAGGCCGCCGAAAAUACUGUGCAGCUAGGGAGUGGGAGAGGUACACGGUACUCGAUAGGAAGGGGUAAAAUCCUUUGAUCUAUUGAUGACCACCUGUGGCGAAGGCGGUGUACCAGAACACGUUCGACGGUGAGGGAUGAAAGCUGGGGGAGCAAACCGGAUUAGAUACCCCCGUAGUCCCUGUCUCUUAUAC